CGGCAAUGAUAGUAGCUCUAAGUAAAUGUAACGUUAGCUGUUUGUCAUUUGAACGUUAGCUGUUUGAUUACUAAACAGUCACCUCUAAACUUUCCCCAAACACGUCGGGAGGUUGUUCCACUGAAGAGACAUCUCAACGUCCCAACAGUAUCCACAGCCUUUUUAUCAGCCUGUUGUAUGAGCCAGUAGAGGGAGUCCAAGGCUUAAAUCCUGUUUCUAACUUCUGAUUCGAAGGUUUUUGGGACAACUUGACAUAUGGGAGGCAACAAAGUACAGACACAACAGUCACAAAGAAAGCAAGCAACAGGUAACAAAAAGGUCAGAAGUCAGCCUCAGGUCAUCGUCACCUCCUGACCUCCUUACAAUGCGUCUAAAUGUCUAACUGUGUUUCUGCUACAUGGAACCUGUGACUGUGUAUCCCUGAAAGUGACAGUGACUGGUAGGGUUGAGGUUGGAUGACUUUAUUGUUUAUUCUCCAGGGAGAAGUCCAUUUAUCAUACUGAGAGGAGGAGGUGUGAGUGGGAGUAGUCUGAUGACAUGGGCUGCUGCACCACAGAGAACAGUUGUAUGUGUAUAUACUGUUGGUAGGAUGUGCAGAAGAAAUGUUUGUUACUGAUAUUGAUAAGGAGAGCAACUGUGUUAUGCAAGCAAGACAAA